rnacentral:misc_RNA from 1 species
GCCGUAAUUACUCUUUUCCCCCUCCUCCGUCCUUCAAUCUACCUCUGAUCUUUCAAAUCUCUUCCCUCUUCAAAAAUGACCAUCAAAUCAAUUGCACAGAGAUGAGAUAUUCCAAUCCAAUGGAAUUGAAUCCAAUCCAAUCCAAACCCAGUUGUUGUUAAUGGUGGGGCGGAUGGAGCCAAUUGGUUUGAGACUGAAAUUGAU